rnacentral:rRNA from 1 species
UGGGGAAUUUUGGACAAUGGGCGAAAGCCUGAUCCAGCAAUGCCGCGUGUGUGAUGAAGGCCUUCGGGUUGUAAAGCACUUUUGGCGGGAACGAAAAGGACCGUGCCAAUACCAUGGUCUGAUGACGGUACCCGCAGAAUAAGCACCGGCUAACUACGUGCCAGCAGCCGCGGUAAUACGUAGGGUGCAAGCGUUAAUCGGAAUUACUGGGCGUAAAGAGUGCGCAGGCGGUUUUGCAAGACCGAUGUGAAAUCCCCGGGCUUAACCUGGGAACUGCAUUGGUGACUGCAAGGCUAGAGUGUGUCAGAGGGAGGUGGAAUUCCGCAUGUAGCAGUGAAAUGCGUAGAUAUGCGGAGGAACACCGAUGGCGAAGGCAGCCUCCUGGGAUAACACUGACGCUCAUGCACGAAAGCGUGGGGAGCAAACA